rnacentral:rRNA from 1 species
AGUGAACGCUGGCGGCAGGCCUAACACAUGCAAGUCGAACGGCAGCACAGUAAGAGCUUGCUCUUACGGGUGGCGAGUGGCGGACGGGUGAGGUAUACAUCGGAAUCCACUUUUACGUGGGGGAUAACGUAGGGAAACUAACGCUAAUACCGCAUACGUCCUACGGGUGAAAGCAGGAGAUCUUCGGACCUUGCACGAUUGCAUGAGCCGAUGUCGGAUUAGCUAGUUGGCGGAGUACAGGCCCACCAAGGCGACGAUCCGUUGCUGGUCUGAGAGGAUGAACAGCCACACUGGGACUGAGACACGGUCCAGACUCCGACGGGAGGCAGCAGUGGGGAAGAUAGGACAAUGGGCGCAAGCCUGAUCCAGCCAUGCCGGGUGGGUGAAGAAGGGCUUCGGGUUGUAAGACCCUUUUGUUGGGGAAGAAAGGCAGCAGGAGAAAACCCCGCUGUUCUGACGGUACCCGAAGAAUAAGCACCGGCUAACUUCGUG